AGCCAGACUCCUACGGGAGGCAGCAGUGGGGAAUAUUGCACAAUGGGGGAAACCCUGAUGCAGCGACGCCGCGUGAGUGAAGAAGUAUUUCGGUAUGUAAAGCUCUAUCAGCAGGGAAGAAAAUGACGGUACCUGACUAAGAAGCCCCGGCUAACUACGUGCCAGCAGCCGCGGUAAUACGUAGGGGGCAAGCGUUAUCCGGAUUUACUGGGUGUAAAGGGAGCGUAGACGGCCAGACAAGUCAGAAGUGAAAGCCAGGGCUCAACCCUGGGACUGCUUUUGAAACUGCCGGGCUGGAGUGCAGGAGAGGUAAGCGGAAUUCCUAGUGUAGCGGUGAAAUGCGUAGAUAUUAGGAGGAACACCAGUGGCGAAGGCGGCUUACUGGACUGUAACUGACGUUGAGGCUCGAAAGCGUGGGGAGCAAACAGGAUUAGAUACCCCCGUAGA
rnacentral:rRNA from 1 species